rnacentral:rRNA from 1 species
UUUUUCGGUUGGGGAUGGGCUCGCGGCCUAUCAGCUUGUUGGUGAGGUAAUGGCUCACCAAGGCGUCGACGGGUAGCCGGCCUGAGAGGGUGACCGGCCACACUGGGACUGAGACACGGCCCAGACUCCUACGGGAGGCAGCAGUGGGGAAUAUUGCACAAUGGGCGAAAGCCUGAUGCAGCAACGCCGCGUGAGGGAUGACGGCCUUCGGGUUGUAAACCUCUUUUAGCAGGGAAGAAGCGAAAGUGACGGUACCUGCAGAAAAAGCGCCGGCUAACUACGUGCCAGCAGCCGCGGUAAUACGUAGGGCGCAAGCGUUAUCCGGAAUUAUUGGGCGUAAAGAGCUCGUAGGCGGUUUGUCGCGUCUGCUGUGAAAUCCCGAGGCUCAACCUCGGGCCUGCAGUGGGUACGGGCAGACUAGAGUGCGGUAGGGGAGAUUGGAAUUCCUGGUGUAGCGGUGGAAUGCGCAGAUAUCAGGAGGAACACCGAUGGCGAAGGCAGAUCUCUGGGCCGUAACUGACGCUGAGGAGCGAAAGGGUGGGGAGCAAACAGGCUUAGAUACCCUGGUAGUCCACCCCGUAAACGUUGGGAACUAGUUGUGGGGUCCAUUCCACGGAUUCCGUGACGCAG